UACGGAGGGAGCUAGCGUUGUUCGGAAUUACUGGGCGUAAAGCGCACGUAGGCGGUUAUUCAAGUCAGAGGUGAAAGCCCGGGGCUCAACCCCGGAACGGCCUUUGAAACUAGAUAGCUAGAAUCUUGGAGAGGUCAGUGGAAUUCCGAGUGUAGAGGUGAAAUUCGUAGAUAUUCGGAAGAACACCAGUGGCGAAGGCGACUGACUGGACAAGUAUUGACGCUGAGGCGCGAAAGCUAGGGGAGCGAACUGG
rnacentral:rRNA from 1 species